rnacentral:rRNA from 1 species
UACGGAGGUGGCAAGCGUUGCUCGGAAUCACUGGGCGUAAAGGGCGCGUAGGCGGGGAGGUAAGUCGGGUGUGAAAUCCCUCGGCCCAACUGAGGAACUGCGCCCGAGACUGCUUCUCUUGAGUCCCGGAGAGGAAGAUGGAAUUCCCGGUGUAGCAGUGAAAUGUGUAGAGAUCGGGAGGAACACCGGUGGCGAAGGCGGUCUUCUGGACGGUGACUGACGCUGAGGCGCGAAAGCGUGGGGAGCAAACGGG